UUUAAGUGUACGACCUUAGGUCUAAUUGGUUUAUAAAGUAAAGCUUCCGGAUAAUUUUUUAGUUGAGUUUUCGAUAUGAAAUCGACGGUUUGGAAAUUAGUUUACUUGUUGGUGAUCCUUGGAUACUCUGAAGCUAGUUCAAGCAGUUUUUUAGAUGGCCUAAAAACUUUCGUCGAGAAUAACCAAAAUAAUAAUCUUCUAAAUAUGAAGCCCUGCAGCUUUCUUUUCAAUGGUUUGGGUUUAUCGGACGCAUCCUGUACUGUGUUUUGUUUCUUAUUAGGUAAAGACACUGGUGGAAAAUGCCAGAGGAAUACCUGUUCUUGUAAUUGAUGUUCUAAAAAUUCGGCUUGCCAUCACCCACAAUGGAUCACUGUCAUAGGCUCGGGCUAUCUUUAAUUCUUGUGGCAUUUCUAUUCCUCCAGCCCACCUACUCUAGGCCUACUUUUAAUCUCGAUUCAGUCGGAAGUUAUUUUGCAAAUAUAUUGCGAGCUAUAUUAUUCGGAUAGUCAACAAAAUCAGAACUCACCGAACUAGACCAAAUGGAACUGGUAAUUUCUCCACAACAUCAACAUCACAAUCGGGCAGACGCUUCAAAAUAUAUUGAGCUGCAUAGAAUCCAGCUGGUCCAGCUCCAACUAUACACACUUUUUUCCUAGCUGCACUAAUGGCAUUUGUACUAAAUUUUAGUUCACAUGUUUUUUGAAUUAUUGCAUUAAAUUUAUUUUGUUUUAAAAUACAAUUGGCAAAAAACAUU